AAUCAAUCUCAUUGUUGUCUCUCCUUCUUGUGUUGUUAAUGAAUGUUUUAGGUGUUUGAACCUGACAUUUAAUUGGUCCUUCGAGCCGGAUUCCAACAUACAGGAGGAUUUCCUCUGGGUGAGGUGAACCGGGUGAAAAGUCAGUGAUCACUGCAUUCAGAACCUUUUCCAAGGGCCUAGUCCAUCUCGCCUCUGGGUUUCUGACUGUUGACGGGAAGUCCGAGGGAGGAUUGACAGCAGUGGUGAGUGGAUUUGUUUUUUUAAAGGUAUAAAUGAGUACCUGAGAGGUAUUGCGCAUAGAAGGGAUAACGGAGUCCGAGAAAGUCCGUGAUAACAAACCCUAUCAUCCUUGGCACUGAUAGGUACACUAAGGGGUAACAGAGCCCAAAAGGUCUGUGAAUUGAAGGGGUAACAGAGCCCAAAAGGUCUGUGAAUCGAAGGGGUAACAGAGCCCAAAAAGUCUGUGUAGAAAAAAACAAAGUAGGAUAACGGCAUCCUGAUAAUAGGCCGUGUAAUUCGAGUAUAGGGCGGCAGAGUCCUACAAAACUAACGUCUGCAUUGUGUGUUUGUGUGUUUUGUGUGUAUGACUGGAAAAUUAAAUACCACUCGGUAUUUUCUUUUCAUUUAAAAACAGUGGGAUUGUAAGUAACAAGCCUUUGUGGAGGUCUAGCAAGAAUUCUCCACUCGAAAGAGUUGAAGUGAGAAUUACCACAACAGGUAUUUUAUUGUUACCCCACGGUGUAAAACUCCCAGCCUAUAGAACACCCUAUGUGUUACAGGACUGGAUCAAAUUUAUAAAAAUGGGAAAGGGACAAAGGAAAACGUUGAAACAGCUCCAGAGUAAAGACUGGAAAUUCAUUGAACAGCAGGACCCUGAUAAAAUAAAACCUUUAGCUUCAUGGGUAAAAUAAUACAAUGCAGGUUUAAGGGGUGAUUUAAGAAACAAAAAUAGCUAAAAUUCCAGGAAGGUAUUAUUAAUAAAUGAAGAGAUUUAAAAGGGGAUCCCACAGAAACAUUUUGGGAGUUUUUGAAAACACAGCGGUUAGUCAAGGAGGUAUUUAAAGGUCCCGUAGAGAAAAAAAAACA